rnacentral:lncRNA from 1 species
ACUAGUUCCUCUCUCCACUGACGGCUGCUGGCAAAGAUGCAGGCAGCCUGAGGUUGAUGGCGACAUGGGCAGGUAUCAUUGCAAAUAGCUGCGGCAUUGUAAACAAUGCAGAGUAUCUUGCCAACGACUACUCAUUGACCUUGUUUGGCUCUGGGAGCAAUGAGAUGGUGUCCUGGGUAGCUGAAACUGUGGAAAGCAAAACCGUGGAUAAGGGGGAACUACUAUACUGAAAAUGUACAAAACAGAGAAGAUUUCAUUGAAGAAGUCUGCUGUUUCUGGAAUGGGAAAUUAAGCACAACUGGAACAGUUAUCGACUGUGAUUCUUGCUGGGACCAAUAACCUUCUACAAAUACCAACAUCAGUUUUUAUGAAAGGCAAAGAGCUGACAGGUUUACAGACUGCACCCUAACAUUAAGCUACCAGGAGAAACUUCCAAGUUACCCUCUUGUUACUUGUGCCCCAGAGGUGAACACUAUAAACUGCUACAGCAUGCAAUUUAGGGAGAGGUUCGUGAAGAAGUGAUUGGGAAAGAGAGCAAGUCUUGGUUGGACAGUGUGAUUCAAUAGAAAUGUGAGGAGGAAAACUGCAAUUAUUUCUGAACCUUCCCAUCAGCCUUGUCUCUGAUAGAAUUGGCCUGUUGUGGACGGGCUUUGUGUAGAUUAGAGAAAGAAGAAGAUGCUCUUUUGGUGUAAUUGUUCAGUUCCACAUGGCCGGGGAGGCC